rnacentral:rRNA from 1 species
UACAGAGGUCUCAAGCGUUGUCCGGAAUCACUGGGCGUAAAGGGUGCGUAGGCCGCACGGUAAGUCAGAGGUGAAAUCCCGGAGCUCAACUUCGGAAUUGCCUCCGAUACUGCCGUGCUUGAGGACUGGAGAGGAGAUUGGAAUUCACAGUGGAGCAGUGAAAUGCGCAGAUAUCAGGAGGAACACCAAUGGCGAAGGCAGCUCGCUGGGACGGUACUGACGCUGAGACGCGAAAGCGUGGGGAGCAAACAGG